AUGUCCGUCGUUUACGGCCCCCAGGAGGACGCGGAAAAGAUCGCCUUUCCGCAGGAGAUUCGCGAUAUACGUGCGGACUGCCCAGGGCCUUGGUUGCUUUGCGGUGACUUCAACUUGAUCCUUCGUGAUGAAGACAAGAAUAACGGCAACCUGAAUCGUCGCAUGAUGGGAAGAUUCCGCCGCCUCGUCAAUGAUCUUGCGCUCAAGGAGGUAUACCUCAAUGGGAGAAGAUUCACGUGGUCCAACGAGCAAACCCCGCCCACCCUGGUGCACCUAGAUCGCAUGUUUUGCACCGUGGACUGGGAGGAUGUGCAUGGUGACUGCCACUUGAGAUGCCUCGCCUCUGUUGUGUCCGACCAUUGCCCGCUCCUCCAUGACUGCGCACCCACGCACGUCGUGCAUCGGAGGUUCCACUUUGAGGAUUUCUAG
rnacentral:rRNA from 1 species